rnacentral:lncRNA from 1 species
CCGCAGCUAAACUCAGCGGCCAGGCGAGUCGCAACGAGGCGGUCAACGCCAGGUUCCAGUUGGAGCCCGGAGCCUUGAACUGCCAGAGGGGCGGGACCGAGCGCAGCCCAGCUCUUUGAUCCUACUGCGCAGGCGCUAAAGAUUCCUGGCGCGUAGCAUAGGUUCUGAGCUUUUCUUUCAGCUAGGUUACAGACUGGGUCCUCUACAAGUCGGCUAGUUCGCUGGGCCAGAAGAAAGGAACUGCGGACACCAUUCAGGAUCUGAGAAGCAGAUCCCAAUGUGGAGAGCAUUGGCAAAUAAGCUGGAGAAGAAGGGCCUUGUGGAAGAUGUGUAACGUAAAUUAAGCCUUGACAGGUAUUACAUGCCACCCUUUUCAUUAGCAUAAAAUUUAUGUCCGAGCCUUGGUUAAGGAUUUACCAGGUUCUGACUAACGUUCAGUAAAGUUACACAAUAUUUUGUGUUUAUAAUUUUUAAUUACGCUCUUGGCAAAUUGAUUUUUUUUUAAAGGUGUGUGAGUUUUCUUUCUGCUUCUCUCAAGACUAAGCCACUUAAUUUAAAAAGCACAUUUAAAAUGCUAGCAAACUUCUGGCAAAUGAAAUUCAAAGACCAAUUGGCUUUGCUGUGUAUGAGAUCG